rnacentral:rRNA from 1 species
AUACAUGCACGUCGAGCGAACAGAUAAGGAGCUUGCUCCUUUGACGUUAGCGGCGGACGGGUGAGUAACACGUGGGUAACCUACCUAUAAGACUGGAAUAACUCCGGGAAACCGGGGCUAAUGCCGGAUAACAUUUAGAACCGCAUGGUUCUAAAGUGAAAGAUGGUUUUGCUAUCACUUAUAGAUGGACCCGCGCCGUAUUAGCUAGUUGGUAAGGUAAUGGCUUACCAAGGCAACGAUACGUAGCCGACCUGAGAGGGUGAUCGGCCACACUGGAACUGAGACACGGUCCAGACUCCUACGGGAGGCAGCAGUAGGGAAUCUUCCGCAAUGGGCGAAAGCCUGACGGAGCAACGCCGCGUGAGUGAUGAAGGGUUUCGGCUCGUAAAACUCUGUUAUUAGGGAAGAACAAACGUGUAAGUAACUGUGCACGUCUUGACGGUACCUAAUCAGAAAGCCACGGCUAACUACGUGCCAGCAGCCGCGGUAAUACGUAGGUGGCAAGCGUUAUCCGGAAUUAUUGGGCGUAAAGCGCGCGUAGGCGGUUUCUUAAGUCUGAUGUGAAAGCCCACGGCUCAACCGUGGAGGGUCAUUGGAAACUGGGAGACUUGAGUGCAGAAGAGGAAAGUGGAAUUCCAUGUGUAGCGGUGAAAUGCGCAGAGAUAUGGAGGAACACCAGUGGCGAAGGCGACUUUCUGGUCUGUAACUGACGCUGAUGUGCGAAAGCGUGGGGAUCAAACAGGAUUAGAUACCCUGGUAGUCCACGCCGUAAACGAUGAGUGCUAAGUGUUAGGGGGUUUCCGCCCCUUAGUGCUGCAGCUAACGCAU